rnacentral:rRNA from 1 species
AGAACGAACGCUGGCGGCGUGGAUAAGACAUGCAAGUCGCACGGGGCUUUAUCUGUAGCAAUACAGGUGGAGUUCAGUGGCGUAAGGGUGCGUAACACGUGGGCAAUCUGCCGGGAAGCGGGGGAUAGCUCGCCGAAAGGCGAAUUAAUACCGCAUGUGGUUAGUGAAGGAUUCUUCGCGACACCAAAGCCGGGGACCAGCAAUCGGCCUGGCGCUUCCUGAUGAGCCCGCGGCCUAUCAGCUAGUUGGUGAGGUAACGGCUCACCAAGGCUUUGACGGGUAGCUGGUCUGAGAGGACGACCAGCCACACUGGAACUGAGACACGGUCAGACACUACGGGUGCAGCAGUCGAGUAAUUUUCUCAAGUGGGACAACCGUGAAGGAGCGACGCCGCGUGGAGGAGUGAAGGUCGUACGGUAUUAGUAACUCCUGUCUAGUUUAGGAACUAGUUCGCCGUCGUAUUAACGUGUCGCGCUAUUGAUAGUACC